CUCAGAUAGAAGUCUAGAUCAUAAGCAAGAGGCAUGAUGAAUUAUCCAGAGGCCUGGGGCCACCUACUAAAACAGAAUUGAGGCCAUGUACAAGUAUACAGCAUUUCCAAGGAUGUAAGAGAAAAGAAGAGGGACAGUUUCUCAACACUCUUUUUGCUCGUGUGUGCUUCUCCUCUUC
rnacentral:lncRNA from 1 species